rfam:Crassostrea gigas strain 05x7-T-G4-1.051#20 contig18887, whole genome shotgun sequence.
UCUUACCUGUUCGUGUUCACCGGGUAGACCUUGAUGGUAUAGAACAAUUAAGGCACGCGGUGAAUGCCAAGGGGGAGAAA